rnacentral:lncRNA from 1 species
UUUUAUUUUUUGCAGUACUGGGAAUUGAACACAGGGCCUCAUACAUGCUAGACAAGCACUCUACCACUGAGCGACAUUCUCAACCCCACCUUGAGCACUUUUGUGGCAGAUGGCUUCUUCAGCACUCCGGAGAGCAGAAUCCAGAGGACUGAAUUAACCCUCUUCAAUAGUCAGGGGUUAAGGU